UGGUUAAAAAGCUCGUAGUUGGAUCUCGGCGGUCUGAGGGCGGUUCGCUUGAUUGAGUGCUACUGCUCUAUAGGCCGUGGUUUUGCCAGAGGUCUCGGGGUGCUCUUAACCGAGUGUCCUGCGAUGCUGGCAGGUUUACUUUGAAAAAAUUAGAGUGCUCAAAGCAGGCUUUUACGCCUGAAUAUUCGUGCAUGGAAUAAUAGAAUAGGAAGUCGUUUCUAUUUUGUUGGUUUUCGGAAUUCGACUUAAUGAUUAAUAGGGACAGUCGGGGGCAUUUGUAUUCAAACGACAGAGGUGAAAUUCUUGGACCGUUUGAAGACAAACUACUGCGAAAGCAUUUGCCAAGAAUGUUUUCAUUAAUCAAGAACGAAAGUUAGAGGUUCGAAGGCGAUUAGAUACCGCCCUAGUUCUAACCAUAAACCAUGCCGACUAGAGAUUGGUGGUCGUUAUCU
rnacentral:rRNA from 1 species